GGUCGUGUGGCCUAGUGGUUAUGGCACUUGUCUUACAUAAUGGAGCGUUUCCAAUCAAAAACACAAGGGAUCGCAGGUUCGAACCCUGCCACGAUCA